AUGUUUCUUAAAUAAUUAAGGUUGAUCCUGUCUUGUUUCUAUGAUAAUUGGCUAUAAGCUAAAUAAUAUUAAAUAUAAGUUUUUGCGUGUUUUAUAAUUUAUCUAAAGGGUAUUUAUUUUUUAUAAUUGUAGUUUUUAUUUUUGGUAUUAUACAUAAAUGUAGAACCAGUUAAUUAAAUUUAGGAUUGUUUAAGGUUGUGCCAGCAUACGCGGUUAUACAUCCAAUCCAAGUCAAUUUUUUUGGUUUAUAUUAAUUUUAAAUUUUUGGGGGUUAAUUUUUUUUUAUUAGGUGAAAUUUUUAAUUUAAUUUAUAUUUUCUAGGUUUAUGAUUAUGUGAAAUUUGGGGUUUAAACUAGGAUUAGAUACCCUAUUAUUCUAAAUGUAAAAUUUUAACCAUAGUAUUAAUAGUUAUGAUC
rnacentral:rRNA from 1 species